rnacentral:rRNA from 1 species
GAUGAACGCUGGCGGCGUGCUUAACACAUGCAAGUCGAACGGAAAGGCUCCUGCUUGCAGGGGUACUCGAGUGGCGAACGGGUGAGUAACACGUGGGUGAUCUGCCCUGCACUUCGGGAUAAGCCUGGGAAACUGGGUCUAAUACCGGAUAGGACCACAUUUUGGAUGGUGUGGUGGAAAGUUUUUCGGUGUGGGAUGAGCUCGCGGCCUAUCAGCUUGUUGGUGGGGUAAUGGCCUACCAAGGCGUCGAGGGGUAGCCGGCCUGAGAGGGUGUACGGCCAUGUGGGGAGUGAGAUGCCGCCCAGACGGCGGGGGGAGGCAGGGGGGGAGAAUAUAGCAAAGGGGGAGGACGUGGGACGCAGCCGCGCCGGGGGGGGGAUGACGUUCGGGGGGUUAAACUCCGCUUGCGAGGGAGACGGAGUGUGAGUGACGGUACCGGGUAAAGAAGCACCGGCUAACUACGUG